rnacentral:piRNA from 1 species
UAGGUAGAAGCAGCAGACGGUGAGGG